CUACGGGCGGCACCAGUGGGGGAUAUUGCACAAUGGGCGAAAGCCUGAUGCAGCAACGCCGUGUGAAGGAUGACGGAUUUCGGUCUGUAAACUUCUAUCAGCAGGGAAGAAAAUGACGGUACCUGACUAAGAAGCCCCGGCUAACUACGUGCCAGCAGCCGCGGUAAUACGUAGGGGGCAAGCGUUAUCCGGAAUUACUGGGUGUAAAGGGUACGUAGGCGGCUGAUCAAGUCAGAUGUGAAAGCCCGGAGCUCAACUCCGGGAUUGCAUUUGAAACUGGUCGGCUAGAGUGCAGGAGAGGAAAGUGGAAUUCCUAGUGUAGCGGUGAAAUGCGUAGAUAUUAGGAAGAACACCAGUGGCGAAGGCGGCUUUCUGGACUGUAACCGACGCUGAGGUACGAAAGCGUGGGGAGCGAACAGGAUUAGAUACCCCGGUAGUC
rnacentral:rRNA from 1 species